CCUACGGGGAGCAGCAGUGGGGAAUUUUGCGCAAUGCUCGUAAGAGUGACGCAGCGACGCCGCGUGAAUGACGAAGGCCUUCGGGUCGUAAAGUUCUUUCGACAGGGAAGAAAAUGCCUAUAAGUAACUGUGUAUGUAUUGACGGUACCUGUAUAAGCAGUCCCGGCUAACUCCGUGCCAGCAGCCGCGGUAAUACGGAGGGGGCGAGCGUUGUUCGGAGUGACUGGGCGUAAAGAGCACGUAGGCGGUGUUGUAAGUCAUUAGUCAAAGACUAGAGCUCAACUUUAGUAAGGCUAGUGAUACUAUAAUACGAGAGUAUCAGAGAGGAUUGCAGAAUUCCUGGUGUAGCGGUGAAAUGCGUAGAUAUCAGGAGGAAUACCGUUAGCGAAGGCGGCAAUCUGGCUGGAAACUGACGCUGAGGUGCGAAAGCGUGGGUAGCAAACAGGAUUAGAUACCCGUGUAGUC
rnacentral:rRNA from 1 species